AGUGAACGCUGGCGGUAGGCCUAACACAUGCAAGUCGAACGGCAGCACAGUAAGAGCUUGCUCUUACGGGUGGCGAGUGGCGGACGGGUGAGGAAUACAUCGGAAUCUACUUUUUCGUGGGGGAUAACGUAGGGAAACUUACGCUAAUACCGCAUACGACCUACGGGUGAAAGCAGGGGAUCUUCGGACCUUGCGCGAUUGAAUGAGCCGAUGUCGGAUUAGCUAGUUGGCGGGGUAAAGGCCCACCAAGGCGACGAUCCGUAGCUGGUCUGAGAGGAUGAUCAGCCACACUGGAACUGAGACACGGUCCAGACUCCUACGGGAGGCAGCAGUGGGGAAUAUUGGACAAGGGGCGCAAGCCUGAUCCAGCCAGACCGCGUGGGUGAAGAAGGCCUUCGGGUUGUAAAGCCCUUUUGUUGGGAAAGAAAAGCAGCAGGUUAAUACCCCGCUGUUCUGACGGUACCCAAAGAAUAAGCACCGGCUAACUUCGU
rnacentral:rRNA from 1 species